GUAUGUUUAUUGUUUCGAUCUAUAUAAAGCACAUGUGAAAUAGGCUUAGCAGUAUUCAUAGAAAUAUCACAAUGAAGAUACUUCUGUUCUUGUUCGCCGCUCUGGCUAUCAUUCUGGGAGCCGUGAGUGGUAUGACCACGGUUCCAAAGGCCGGUCUAAAUGGUCCUGAGAAGCCAGCUGGUUGUAACGGAGGACCACCACCACCUCCACCUCCUGCUAAUAGCACAGGCUAAAUCCCAGACCCACGAGACGGAUAAAAACUUAUUUCUGCUAACGACAAUGGACCAUGAAUAAAUAGUUUAAAGCA